GAUGAACGCUGGCGGCGUGCCUAAUACAUGCAAGUCGAGCGAACAGAUGAGGAGCUUGCUCCUCUGACGUUAGCGGCGGACGGGUGAGUAACACGUGGAUAACCUACCUAUAGGACUGGGAUAACUUCGGGAAACCGGAGCUAAUACCGGAUAAUAUAUUGAACCGCAUGGUUCAAUAGUGAAAGACGGUUUUGCUGCCACUUAUAGAUGGAUCCGCGCCGCAUUAGCUAGUUGGUAAGGUAACGGCUUACCAAGGCAACGAUGCGUAGCCGACCUGAGAGGGGGAUCGGCCACACUGGAACUGAGACACGGUCCAGACUCCUACGGGAGGCAGCAGUAGGGAAUCUUCCGCAAUGGGCGAAAGCCUGACGGAGCAACGCCGCGUGAGUGAUGAAGGUCUUCGGAUCGUAAAACUCUGUUAUUAGGGAAGAACAAAUGUGUAAGUAACUAUGCACGUCUUGACGGUACCUAAUCAGAAAGCCACGGCUAACUACGU
rnacentral:rRNA from 1 species